UACAGGCGUGAGCCCCCGCGCCAGGCUUCGAAACGCAUACUCUUAAAUAUCAGUUAAGCACCUUAAAUGAAACAUGUUCAUCCCAAUACUGGAACAUGAUGUCUGUGAGGACAUGGGGCUGUACUUUGUUACUUUCUUUUAAGAGUUUUAAAAAUAAACUCAUUUUUUUUCCCCUAAACUCGCCCCUUUCUCAGUGGGAUUUUUCUCUUUUCUUUCUGUUUUUUUUCCCUCCAAGACUAAGUUUUGCUCCUCUUGCCCAGGCUGGAGUGCAGUGGUGUGAUCUUGGCUCACUGCAACCUCUGCCUCCUGGGUUCAAGCAAUUCUCCUGCCUCAGCCUCCGGAAUAGCUGGGAUUACAGGCACCCACAACCAUGGCUGGCUAAUUUUUUGUGUUUUUGGUAGAGACGUGGUUUCACCAUGUUGGCCAGGCUGGUCUCGAACUCCUGACCCCAGGUGAUCCACCCACCUUGGCCUCCCAAAGUGCUUGGAUUACAGGCAUGACCCAUCGCGCCUGGCGUUUUUGUUUUUUUUUUUUUUUUUUUUUUUUUUAGAUGGAGUCUCAUUCUGUCACCCAGGGUGGAGUGCAGGGGUGCGAUCUUGGCUCACUGCAACCUCCCACCCCUGGGUUCUAUUGAUUCUCCUGCUUCAGCCUCCCGAGUAGCUGGAAUUACAGGUGUGUGCCACCACACCUGGGUAAUUUUUGUGUUUUUUGUAGAGUGGGGUUUUGCCAUGUUGAGAAGGCUGGUCUCGAACUCCUGACCUCAGGUGAUCUGCCCACCUGGGCCUCCCAAAGUGCUGGAAUUACAGGCGUGAGCCAUUGUGCCUGGCCACCUGCAUUCUUCUCUAGCUCGGCUGUUCUACUUGUUCCUACUUGUAAUAGACUAAAUAAUGACGCUCCAAACAUGUCUACAUCCCAGUCUCCUUGUGAAUCUAUUUGUGACUAUGUUACCUCUCAUGAUAAAAGCAACUUUACAGAUAUGAUUAAAUUAAAUAUCUUGAGAUGUGAGGUUAUCCUGGAUUAUCCAGGUGAGCUCAGUGUAAUCCCACAGGUCCUUACAAGAGGGAGGCAGGAGGAUCAGAGUCACAGAGAGAGGAGAUGGUAACAUGGAAGCAUGGAAACCAAGGCUAGACGGAGACAGGAUGAUAUGCUGCUGGCUUUGACAACUGGGGAAGAGGCAAUGAGGCAGCAAUGUAGCGGCCUCUAUAGGCUGGGAAAGUCAAGGAAACGGAUUCUCCCCUAAAGCCUACAGAAGGAAUGCAGUCAUACUAACAUUUUAAUUCUAGCCCUGUGGAUUUUUUUUUUUUUUUUUUUUUAAGAUGGAGUCUUACUCUGUCACCCAGGCUGGAGUGCAGUGGCACCAUCUCGGCUCACUGCAACCUCCGCCUCCUAGGUUCAAGCGAUUCUUCUGCCUCAAUUUCCUGAGUAGCUGGGACUGCAGGCGUGAGCCACCAUGCCUGGCUAAUUUUUCUAUUUUUGGUAGAGAAGGGAUGUCACCAUAUUGGCCAGGCUGGUCUCGAACUCCUGACCUCGUGAUCUGCCUGCCUUGGCCUCCCAAAGUGUUGGGAUUACAG
rnacentral:lncRNA from 1 species